rnacentral:lncRNA from 10 species
UCGGGGUUUCUGGGUGACGGUGAUCUCGGGGUGGGCAGGACUCCAAAGGCCCGUCGACCCGGUGGUGGACUCCUUGCACUGGGAUUGGACAUAUGCAAGCGGGAGAUUUGGGGCCGGCGCUCAAAAUCGGGGGGCGGGGGUGGACUCGGGUUUGGACCCCAGGAUCCGAUCAGCGGACCCUUGAUUCAACGUGGGCUCCAGCGUGACAUGGCUGAAGCGCACCAGGCCGUGGGCUUCCGACCCUCGCUGACCUCGGACGGGGCUGAAGUGGAACUCAGUGCCCCUGUGCUGCAGGAGAUCUACCUCUCUGGCCUGCGCUCCUGGAAAAGGCAUCUCUCACGUUUCUGGGGUCUUACUUACUUUGUUACCCAGGCUGGAGUGCAGUGUCACCAUCACAGCUCACUUCAUCCCUGAACUCCUGGGCUCAAGCGAUCCUCCUGCUUCAGCCUUCCAAGUAGCUGGGACUAAGAAUGACUUUCUCACCGGUGUGUUUCCUGCCAGCCCCCUCAGUUGGCUUUUCCUCUUCAGUGCCAUCCAGCUUGCCUGGUUCCUCCAGCUGGAUCCUUCCUUAGGACUGAUGGAGAAGAUCAAAGAGUUGCUGCCUGACUGGGGUGGACAAC